rnacentral:tRNA from 1 species
GAGAAAGUAGCUCAAAGGUAGAGUAUUAGUUUUCAAAACUACAAAGUAUAGGUUCAAAUCCUUUUUUUCUUG